rnacentral:rRNA from 1 species
UACGAGGGGGGCGAGCGUUGUUCGGAAUUAUUGGGCGUAAAGGGUGCGUAGGCGGUUUGGUAAGUCUGAUGUGAAAUCUAUGGGCUCAACUCAUAGUCUGCAUCGGAAACUGCCGGGCUUGAGUCCGGAAGGGGCGAGUGGAAUUCCUGGUGUAGCGGUGAAAUGCGCAGAUAUCAGGAGGAACACCAAUGGCGAAGGCAGCUCGCUGGAACGGUACUGACGCUGAGGCGCGAAAGCGUGGGGAGCGAACAGG